CUAUGGAGCCCAUUUAUCAAUGUAUGAUUUCCAAGUUUUCUGACUUUCGGAUCGACAAUACGAUAUUAUCGUGACUAAUACGUUUUUUUCGUAAGCAUUUUCGUGACCUUUGCGAUCAUCAGAAAUUAUCGUAUCUAAUCCGAAUUUUACCUAUUUCAGGAUUCGAACUCGUACUUUGCAGAAUCCGUCUCUAAGUCAUAUCUAUAGACACAAUUUACCCAAUACCCUGUUUUUCAGGGUUGGUUGGUUUCUACCAAAUGUUAAAUUCCUGACAGCCUAUGAAUGGGAGGUAGAAGGGGCAGUUUCAUUAUGCCUACUAUGGUAAUGCAUUCAUGUGUAGAACGUGUAAAUUCUAGAGCUUGUUUUGUUACCUUUUGCAUACCUGGUUCAGUGCCACCUCAGUUUUUACUAUACUUGAGAAGUCUUUCCAUGUGUGCUACAGAGAGUCUCCACAGACAGCCUGGACUUUCCUAACUGUAAUUUUUCAGGUUCUGUUAAUAGUGCAAUUCUGAGAUGGAUAAAACCGCUUUGGUCCAAGAGGAGUUAACUGCAUAAUUUCCUGCCUGGUACAGGAAUGGUUAACAAAAGGUACUUGUCAGCAGCAGAGUGACCACAUGGCAGUGAGAAGGGGGAGGGUCAUUUGCAACUGAGAAGCUGAGACAAAGGAAAGCAUGUCUGUUGAACAUGAUACCCUUAUAUACUGCCUUAUGAAUCUAUCUUCAUUGCAAAUAUGUUCUCCAUGAGGCUGAGAGCUUCACCUCCUUCAAACCCUUGAAGUGUCAUUGCCACCUGCUGCUCAUUUUUGUUAAGUGGACACAGUCGAAAACGAAGUUGAUGAAAAAGCCUGCGCCUUUCAAGUUAUUGAUGCUAUCAAGUUUAUUCUCCAGACUAUUCUCCAGACUGUUAUGUUUUAUGAAUCACAGAUGCUGAUCUUGUGUUCAGUUCCAUAAAGCAAGCACUCUGGUAGCCACCCAUGUUUCUGUAGCCUGCCCUCAAGAACCUAGUGAUGAUGCUGUUAAACCUUUUCUGACUGUAAUGGUUAUAAAGCACAGAUACUGAUCUUGCAUUCAUAUAGCAAGAGCUGUAAAAGCCACUCAUGCUUAUCUUCAAGAACCUAGUGGUGCUAUAAAGCCUGUUCUAACUCUGGACUGUUAGAAUUCUAAAGCACAGAUGCUGGUCUGCAGUUUCAUCCAGAAAGCACUGUGGUAGCCUCCCAUGCUAUCUAGCCUUUCCCAACAAUCAAGAGAGGAUACUGAGCCUCUACUGACUCUGGACCGUUAUGGUUAUAAAGCACAAAUACAGAUCCACUUCAGCUCUACAUCUUAUCAUAGUCACCCAUGAACUGUUCAGUUUCACAGACCCUUCCAGUGUAUCAUCUCACCCCCCACUCCACCCCCAAAAAAGAGAGGAGGGGGAGCCUUUAUUCAACCCAAAGAGAGAGGAGCAAACUGCAGAAACAGAGAAGAAGGUAGAAUAACCUUGGCUAGAAAGGAAAUGUGAGAGGAGAACAGUAACUGAGAGCUGACAGAUACCAACGAAAUUACAUCUGGAAGAAACUGGAAGAGAAGAUAGAAAUAGGCAGAGGUAAGGGAAGGAAAGAGAGAAGAGGCAGAUAGUAACAUAGUAAAAAAAAAAAUUACCUUUUUUUUUAAAAAAAAAAAAUAAUUCAAAGAGCAAGGCAUGGAAUGUACGUUAUAGCCUAAGGCUAUUUUGGAGUAUUAAGGGAAAUACUCAAAGGGGAAAGUCUGGGCAAAAUCUACAGUGAUAAUAGAAAAAGGAGCAAAUGCUGGGCUGCUUUUUGGACUAUUGAGCACAGACACACAUGGUGGUAGAAGCUAGAACAUGAAUAUAAGAUUGUAUACAUAUAAUGUGUACAUUUUUAUUAUUAUUUACAAGAAACACUGAUAGGUUAAGUAUGUUUCAGUCCAUUGGUUGUACAUUUAAGUAUACCAUUACACCUGCUAAUUGAAUGAACAUAUAUGAUAUGGCUGUGUAACUCAUUUUUAUAAAUGAUUAUAGAUGCACUUUUUACAGUUAAAGGAUGGAUAUAUGGUGUUUAUACUGUAUUCUGAUAUACUUAUUUUUGAUAGGAAAUUACAGAUUGAUGGGUACCUUCCAUUUUACUGGAAAUUGUUUUUAAUAUCUGUUUUAAUGUGUUUUUUUCUAACUAUUGAGGUAAGAAUAUAUUUAUUUGCAUUAUAAUUGUGUCUGCCUCUUAUGAAAAGAGUACAAUUAUUAAUAAAGUUGAUUUUGGGGUGGUGGUCUGUGCUGUUUUGCAUAAUCUGACACACCCAUCACAUCUGUAUGCUGGUAUUAAUGAAAAUAAGGUGUCAUUGGACAUAUCUGUUACAUAUGUACUUGCCAUCUGUCUGUGAAACUGUACACUGGUCCAUCUGUCUUCUAACUGCGGCAACCCUGAGCAUACCAGUGCUUAAUGACAUAUCAGUCACCUGUAUAAUAUUGAUGAACUGACCUCUUAUUUGUAUGCUUAUAUAAGCUCCCAUCUUCGUAUUUAGAACACUGUUCUUCUAAUUGUUGCUUUCAUUUCAGGCUUGUUUGUAGACAGAGGAACCUAGUUCUAUACCUGGUUCUUGUCUCUGUUAAUAAACACUGAUCAACUUGGAA